rnacentral:rRNA from 1 species
GGUUAAGCGACUAAGCGUACACGGUGGAUGCCCUGGCAGUCAGAGGCGAUGAAGGACGUGCUAAUCUGCGAUAAGCGUCGGUAAGGUGAUAUGAACCGUUAUAACCGGCGAUUUCCGAAUGGGGAAACCCAGUGCAAUUCGUUGCACUAUCAUUGCGUGAAUACAUAGCGUAAUGAAGCGAACCGGGGGAACUGAAACAUCUAAGUACCCCGAGGAAAAGAAAUCAACCGAGAUUCCCCCAGUAGCGGCGAGCGAACGGGGAGCAGCCCAGAGUCUGAAUCAGCGUGUGUGUUAGUGGAACGGUCUGGAAAGUCCGACGGUACAGGGUGAUAGUCCCGUACACCAAAACACACAGGUUGUGAACUCGAAGAGUAGGGCGGGACACGUGGUAUCCUGUCUGAAUAUGGGGGGGACCAUCCUCCAAGGCUAAAUACUCCUGACUGACCGAUAGUGAACCAGUACCGUGAGGGAAAGGCGAAAAGAACCCCGGCGAGGGGAGUGAAAAAGAACCUGAAACCGUGUACGUACAAGCAGUGGGAGCCUCUUUAUGGGGUGACUGCGUACCUUUUGUAUAAUGGGUCAGCGACUUAUAUUCUGUAGCAAGGUUAACCGAAUAGGGGAGCCGAAGGGAAACCGAGUCUUAACUGGGCGUUAAGUUGCAGGGUAUAGACCCGAAACCCGGUGAUCUAGCCAUGGGCAGGUUGAAGGUUGGGUAACACUAACUGGAGGACCGAACCGACUAAUGUUGAAAAAUUAGCGGAUGACUUGUGGCUGGGGGUGAAAGGCCAAUCAAACCGGGAGAUAGCUGGUUCUCCCCGAAAGCUAUUUAGGUAGCGCCUCGUGAAUUCAUCUUCGGGGGUAGAGCACUGUUUCGGCUAGGGGGUCAUCCCGACUUACCAACCCGAUGCAAACUGCGAAUACCGAAGAAUGUUAUCACGGGAGACACACGGCGGGUGCUAACGUCCGUCGUGAAGAGGGAAACAACCCAGACCGCCAGCUAAGGUCCCAAAGUCAUGGUUAAGUGGGAAACGAUGUGGGAAGGCACAGACAGCCAGGAUGUUGGCUUAGAAGCAGCCAUCAUUUAAAGAAAGCGUAAUAGCUCACUGGUCGAGUCGGCCUGCGCGGAAGAUGUAACGGGGCUAAACCAUGCACCGAAGCUGCGGCAGCGACACUAUGUGUUGUUGGGUAGGGGAGCGUUCUGUAAGCCGUUGAAGGUGUGCUGUGAGGCAUGCUGGAGGUAUCAGAAGUGCGAAUGCUGACAUAAGUAACGAUAAUGCGGGUGAAAAACCCGCACGCCGGAAGACCAAGGGUUCCUGUCCAACGUUAAUCGGGGCAGGGUGAGUCGACCCCUAAGGCGAGGCCGAAAGGCGUAGUCGAUGGGAAACAGGUUAAUAUUCCUGUACUUGGUGUUACUGCGAAGGGGGGACGGAGAAGGCUAUGUUGGCCGGGCGACGGUUGUCCCGGUUUAAGCGUGUAGGUGUGUGUUCCAGGUAAAUCCGGAAUGCUUUAACACUGAGGCGUGAUGACGAGGCACCACGGUGCUGAAGUGACAAAUGCCCUGCUUCCAGGAAAAGCCUCUAAGCAUCAGGUAACACGAAAUCGUACCCCAAACCGACACAGGUGGUCAGGUAGAGAAUACCAAGGCGCUUGAGAGAACUCGGGUGAAGGAACUAGGCAAAAUGGUGCCGUAACUUCGGGAGAAGGCACGCUGAUAUGUAGGUGAAGUGAUUUACUCAUGGAGCUGAAAUCAGUCGAAGAUACCAGCUGGCUGCAACUGUUUAUUAAAAACACAGCACUGUGCAAACACGAAAGUGGACGUAUACGGUGUGACGCCUGCCCGGUGCCGGAAGGUUAAUUGAUGGGGUUAUCCGUAAGGAGAAGCUCUUGAUCGAAGCCCCGGUAAACGGCGGCCGUAACUAUAACGGUCCUAAGGUAGCGAAAUUCCUUGUCGGGUAAGUUCCGACCUGCACGAAUGGCGUAAUGAUGGCCAGGCUGUCUCCACCCGAGACUCAGUGAAAUUGAACUCGCUGUGAAGAUGCAGUGUACCCGCGGCAAGACGGAAAGACCCCGUGAACCUUUACUAUAGCUUGACACUGAACACUGGUCCUUGAUGUGUAGGAUAGGUGGGAGGCUUUGAAGUGUGGACGCCAGUCUGCAUGGAGCCGACCUUGAAAUACCACCCUUUAAUGGCUGGUGUUCUAACGUGGGCCCGUGAUCCGGGUUGCGGACAGUGUCUGGUGGGUAGUUUGACUGGGGCGGUCUCCUCCCAAAGAGUAACGGAGGAGCACGAAGGUUAGCUAAUCCUGGUCGGACAUCAGGAGGUUAGUGCAAAGGCAUAAGCUAGCUUGACUGCGAGAGUGACGGCUCGAGCAGGUGCGAAAGCAGGUCUUAGUGAUCCGGUGGUUCUGAAUGGAAGGGCCAUCGCUCAACGGAUAAAAGGUACUCCGGGGAUAACAGGCUGAUACCGCCCAAGAGUUCAUAUCGACGGCGGUGUUUGGCACCUCGAUGUCGGCUCAUCACAUCCUGGGGCUGAAGUAGGUCCCAAGGGUAUGGCUGUUCGCCAUUUAAAGUGGUACGCGAGCUGGGUUUAGAACGUCGUGAGACAGUUCGGUCCCUAUCUGCCGUGGGCGCUGGAGAAUUGAGGGGGGCUGCUCCUAGUACGAGAGGACCGGAGUGGACGCAUCACUGGUGUUCGGGUUGUCAUGCCAAUGGCACUGCCCGGUAGCUAAAUGCGGAAGAGAUAAGUGCUGAAAGCAUCUAAGCACGAAACUUGCCCCGAGAUGAGUUCUCCCUGACCCUUUAAGGGUCCUGAAGGAACGUUGAAGACGACGACGUUGAUAGGCCGGGUGUGUAAGCGCAGCGAUGCGUUGAGCUAACCGGUACUAAUGAACCGUGAGGCUUAACCUU